AUCUUAUGCUCCCACACAUUUGUUUGUAUUAGAAAUUAUCGAGUUUACUUUACAAUUUGAAUUGUUGCUAUUCAAUGUUUGAUAGUAUCAUAAUAGACAAAGAAUGGCUGCAAUUAUCAAGGUUAUUAUCUAUAAUAAAAUCUUAUAAAUCUAGUUACAAAAUCUAAACAAUAAUAUCAAUUGAUCAUAAAAUUGUUGUCGUAGAUUUUCAGAACAAUACAGAGAUAGAGCACGAAAUUUUGUUGAACUAGCUUGUGAAAAUCUAAAUUCAGGAAUGAUAAGAUGCCCUUGUAUUAUGUAUAAGAAUCUAAAGCAUCAUUAUUAUGAAACAUUGUAUGAGCAUUUGGUUAUUAAGGGUAUAGAUUCUACAUAUACUGUUUGGGUAUUUAAUGGAGAGCGACCAAAUAAAUCAAAUUUGGUUGAUGUAGAAAUGCCCGAGUCAUGUAGGAUAUUUAGGGACUUCUAUGCAUAACAUGAUGUACAUCCUGAAAAUCCUCAUGAUGGAACAGGGGAAGACAUUCAACGUUUAGUUAGUGAUGCGAAAAUCCUUUUGUAUCCUAGUUGUAUGGCAUUUACGAAGAUGUCAGCUUCAGUUGCUAUGUUUAAAUAUAAAGCUACACAUGAUCUAUCAAAUAGUGGUUUCGAUGAACUCAUAAAUCUUGUGCUGGGCAUGCUGUCACAGAAUAAUACACUUUCUAACUCAUUUUAUGAUAUGAAAAACUUGUCAAAGCAUUUGAUCUUACCUAUGAUAAGAUACAUGUUUACUUGAAUGGUUGUUGUCUAUAUAGGAAGGAGCUUGAACAUGCAGAAUUAUGUCUAAAAUGUGGUUGUUAUAAAUAAAAAGUUAACCAAUGGACUAAGAAAUUUCAAAAAAAUAAAAAUAAAAUUCUAGCAAAAGUCUUGUAUUAUUUCCCUAUCAUACCAAGAUCUAAGAGGAUGUUCGGAAUAGAUGGAAUGCCAACACAACUUAAAUGACACUCAAAUAAUAAAAGUUUCUUUUUUGAUAUAAUGUUUAUUUAACAAUCCAUAUGGAAGAGAAGCUUGUCUAUGUGGAUCAGUUCAAUAUUGUUGGAUGUACCCAUUUGAGAGGUGGUAUUCCUUAACUUAUCAUAGUAGUUAAAUUCACUAUCAAAUUUAUUUUUAUUUUAUUAGAUUUUUGGAAAAUGUGUAGAUAUAUGAAAGUGUUGAAAGAAUACGUCAUGAAUCGUUCAUGACCUGAAGGAUGCAUAGCUGAAUGAUAUAUUGUUGAAAAAAAUGCAUUGUUUUGUAGCAAAUACAUUAAACAAGCAUUUGAAAUAGGCUCUAAGUUUGCGUGCAAUGAAGAAUAUGAAAGUGACUUCUUAGUUGCAGGGUGUACAAGUUCUAAAAGGAAGCCACUUGUACUAUUUGAUGAGAUGCUGAAAGUUGCCCCUUGCUAUGUGCUGCUAAAUAGUAUAGAAGUGGCUCUAUACGUAUAGUAUGUUCAUGACAUAUCUACUUUGUUAGGUUUUAAGUUCUUCGACCAUAUUAAUUUCUUGAUAUAUUGUUUUCCACUUAGGACGCAUAUGGAUGAACUCAAGAGUUUUGACAAAUGACUUCAAAGAAAUGAGAAUUUGUUGCAUAAGAAACAUAUUGACACUUUUGCUGCCUGGUUGGACGAUAAGGUUGAAGUACAUAUAUCAACAAGAUUAGUGUUUAACAUAGAUGUUUAUUCUUUUAUUCCUAACAUGUUUAUAAUAAUAACAGAUUACAGGUCAAUUGUUUCUCGACAAUGUUGCAAAUACUUUAAAGUGGCUUGCACGUGGCCCUAGAUGCCAGUCUGUCAUAUUCUAGUUUUGUAAUAAAUGGUCUUCAAUUUUACACGAAAGAUGCAGAAAAGUCUUGCCAAAAUAGUGGUAUCUUAGUUGAAGCAACAACCAUUUGUAGAUCUAGUGCAAAAGAUAAUGCACAUGUUGUUGGGAAAGUUCUUUAACAUGGAGUUCUCUUGCCUUCUUCCAUUGUUUUUCCUGUGCCUUUGUGGCUUGCAAAUCAUCACCACUAUUUUGUACUUUAUGGGUGAGAUUAAGAAGCAAUCAAGUUGAAUAUA
rnacentral:lncRNA from 1 species